rnacentral:rRNA from 1 species
UACGUAGGGGCGAGCGUUGUCCGGAUUUACUGGGCGUAAAGGGCGCGUAGGCGGCCACCGCAAGUCGACUGUGAAAUCUCCGGGCUUAACCCGGAAAGGUCAGCCGAUACUGCGGGGCUAGAGUGCAGAAGGGGCAACUGGAAUUCUCGGUGUAGCGGUGAAAUGCGUAGAUAUCGAGAGGAACACCUGCGGCGAAGGCGGGUGCUGGGCUGACACUGACGCUGAGGCGCGAAAGCUAGGGGAGCGAACGGG